UUCGGCCCACUCAGACCUUCAAGUUACGAGCUUCGGCUUCUGCCGAGGCCCAACAAAAGGGAUCUGAAAAAAGGGUCCAGAAGCAGAGCUUCCUCUUCGCCCUCCCCUCCCGACGGCGUCGCCGAAACCCUCUCCGCCGAACAGCCCCGCUGCUCCAGCCCUUCUUCCGCCGAAGCACGGGAGCCUCGAAGGCAGUAUACGACAUGGCUUCGCAUGCGUACCCUUCCAAGAGACCAUUCCAGAAGAAGUAUUCAGAACACAAUGGUCGGGCCAAGUGGCAAAAGACAAAACAUGCUCCUUCGCAGCAGCCUCAGCUGACAAUACAGCCUGGAGUUCCUCUUAUCCGCAUUCUUUGCCCUACUGAGAAAUGUGGGAAUGUUAUUGGUAAAGGUGGUAGCAUCAUUGCAAAGAUAAGGCAAGAAAACGGAGUGAAAAUCCGGGUUGAUGAAGCAGUCCCUGGUUGUGAUGAGAGAGUUAUUGUCAUAACUACCGUUGAGAAGGACAAAGAAGCUAUCCACGAGCAAGGUAAAGAGAAUGAUGGUGGUACUGCUGUUUCUGCUGAUGGCGAGCAUGAGAAGGAGAAAGACCACAGUAAGGAAGAAAAAGAUGAUUCAGAUAAUGCCCACGGCAAGGAAGAACAAGAUGAUGCAGAGAGAGAUGACAGCAAGGAAGAAAAUGAUGAUUCUUCUGUUGCAAAAACUACAAAGUUGGAGCCAGAGAGGGUAAUACCAUCAGCAAUGAACGCCGUUUUGCAUGUCUUUGAUAGGAUUUUUAUAACUGAAAGUGAAAAUGGAACUGAAGAUGCAUCAGGCCAGAAAACUCCUGUUUCUUUCAGAUUGUUGGUGCUAGAUAGCCAAGUAGGUUCGCUUUUGGGAAUUCGAGGUAGUGUGAUUAAGCAAAUGUCCGCUGAUAGUGGCUGUGAAAUCCGAGUUUCAAAGGAGAAUCUUCCUUUAUGUGCUUUACUCAAAGAUGAACUUUGUCAGAUUAAUGGAGAGCUUGACUCAGUUAAGAAAGGUCUGAAUGCAGUGGCUCAAGUGCUCUUUACUCACCCCCCUAGGGAAAGUGAUGUAGUUCCUGUUGUUCAUCCUUCUGGUUCAUCAUCACGCACCUUCGAUCGCUCAGAUGGUCUUCCUCCAGGAAUGCCACCUAACUUUCAUCUCCCUUUUCAAGGGCCAUCCCAGGCCAGGGGACCUUUUGAUACCAUUGACCAAAGGCCAAAUGUUGCACCUUUCUCAACUUUUCCUGACCAACGCUCAAACAUUCCUCCCUUUUCUGCUUUUCCUGAUGCUCUCAUGCAUGGCAACGCUUCAGUUCCCCCAGAACCUCUCACCUUCAGGCUAUUAUGUUCAAGUGACAAGGUCGGAAGUAUUAUAGGGAAGGGUGGAAACAGUAUCAAGACUAUUCAGAAAGAUACAGGUUGUGAAAUAAAAAUUCUUGAGACUAUUCCAAAGUCAGAUGAUCACAUCAUAAUCAUCUCUGGACCUGCGCAUCCAGGUGAUGGCAUUUCCCCAGCACAGAAUGCAAUUUUGCAUGUGCAGCGUAAAAUUACGCCACCCACCUCUAACAAGGAGGGUCCUGCAAUAUCUAGGCUGAUCGUUUCACCUAACCAAGUUGGCUGCCUCCUUGGCAAAGGUGGCAGUAUCAUAGCUGAAAUGAGGAAGCUGUCAAAAGCCCAUAUAAUAGUGUUGAGCAAAGACAAGAUCCCAAGGGGUGUACAAGAAAUUGAUGAAGUUGUUCAGAUAACCGGGGAUUCUGAGGCUAUUCAGGAAGCUCUGAUGCAGAUAACUGCUAGGCUACGUAACAAUCUUUUCCGGGACAGAAUGGCUUCAAUGGGUCCCAGUAUGCAGCCACCUUUUGGUUUGCUGGAUCCUCAGUUUGGUGCAUUUGCGGGAAUCCAUGAAUCUACAUCUCCUAGGAUUUAUCCUAAUGCAUCUCAGUUUCAUAAAGAUUUCAUGGGACGACCAUUGGAUGAGAUGUCUGCUCCUUGGACCACAAAGGAUGUUGGUGAUCCGAUGUCAGUAUCUGGCAUUCCUGGAAUGGCACACAGAGGAAUGGGUGGAUUUUCAGGACCUGUUCAUUCAUCUAGGCCAAUCAUAACUGGAAAUAUCAUGGUUCCAAGAUUAGUUAUACCUGCUCUAUGUGGGCAUGAUGGAGGUUGUUUGAAUAUGAUACGUGAGUUUUCAGGAGCUAAGAUAACAAUCGAGGAACCGCUGGCUGAUUCCAUGGAUACACCUGUUAUGAUAUCUGGCACACCGGAUCAGAUGCAUGCAGCCCGAAGUCUUGUUCAAGCAUUUGUUCUAAGUGAACCACCUGCCCCAUGAGAUUUCAAAUCUCUGAAGGUCAGCAGUUUUGGUGAGUUGUCAACUGGGGUAGUUCCUUGUAGGCAGACAGUUGGUUAUCAUCUCUGCUUGGUUAUCCUUUGCUGCUAUGUUAGCAUUGGAGGCUGCAUCCUAGAAGGAAAACAAUUAAGUGGUGUGAAAUGCAUAACUUGAACGGAUGAGAUUCGACUGGAGAUGAAAGCGACUGUCCUGGAAUCACUUCAAUUUUUCUAUUGGACUACGUGGACAGCUAACAACCAGUGUGAGACGAUUGUGGCCCACAAGGCCACAAGCACCAAGCUCGAUUAACGUUGCACAUUGUUUUAUUCCUGUUAUUUUUCUAGAUGGUAUUACUUACUCUUGGUACACUAAAGAACUGGACGUUUGGAUAAAAAAAAGGAUAGUUACGAGUACAAAUUGGCUACACGGAAGCGCUGUCAGCACGUCCGUACGGAUGUGAACUCCUGGUUUAUGAGCCGUUCAUUUACUGGAUCGGACGGCUGCUACUCAUUCGUUUGUGUAUACUUGUUCUAGAGGGUUAAGCAGCACUCCACAAGAUACGAGCAAUGUAGGCCGACGCAGCAUGAAGCCUCGCUUCCGGUGCAUACAUGAGCACAAACACAUUCAGACAGGCGAUGGACAUAGAAAAAUUACUACGAUAUUGUAUGAAGCUUCUAUUUUGUGGCUCAUAUGUACAACUUCCAUCCAAUGGUGGUCAAUUGUUUCUCGCUCACACAAGGGGUGGCAAAUCUAAUCCCUUUCGGCUCUAUUUUGUAGCCCAUAUUGUAUGAAGCUUCUGUUUUGUGACUCAUAUGUACAAAUUCACUCUAAUAGUGGUCAAUCGUCUUCUCCUUCUCU